rnacentral:rRNA from 1 species
UACGGAGGAUCCGAGCGUUAUCCGGAUUUAUUGGGUUUAAAGGGUGCGUAGGCGGCUUUUUAAGUAAGCGGUGAAAUUUUGCAGCUUAACUGUAACAGCGCCGUUGAUACUGGGGAGCUAGGAUUUGGUUGCUGUGGGUGGAAUGUGUGGUGUAGCGGUGAAAUGCUUAGAGAUCACACAGAAUAUCGAUUGCGAAGGCAGCUCACAAAGCCAAGAUUGACGCUGAGGCACGAAAGUGUGGGGAUCAAACAGGAUUAGAUA